CCGGCCUAGGCCUAGUAUCAAGGUAUAUUAUGAAGCCCGAGCUAGAAGCCUGAUCUACCCAGCUUGGUGUUCAGCUUGAGAACCGCUUGGCCAGGUGUAAAAUAGAAGGUUGGGCCCAACUUGACCAGCCCGGACAAAUCAAGCUGGUUGACCUUGGCCAUAUCUAACCUAGCCUGGUUCAAUCUGCCCUGGAGAACACACACACGCACAGAGAGCAAGUGCCAAGGGAGAAAAGAGAGGAAGGUCUACCGGCUAGAGAUGGUCAUUGGAUGAGAGAGGAGGGAGGGAGCGAUGGAGUAAGAGGAUGGAGGGAGGGGGAGAUUUGUGAUCCUUUACAUGUGUGUUUUGCAUCACAGAGAGCUGUACAACGAUGAAUAGCUUCAAUGUCAUCC
rnacentral:lncRNA from 1 species